CACUAAAUGACUGAAAGUAAGUGAUGGAAUUUUAAACCAUAAAAUAGUAUAAUAACAAAUACUUUUAGUG
rnacentral:tRNA from 1 species